AACCAACAGGGAUUGCCCCAGUAACGGCGAGUGAAGCGGCAACAGCUCAAAUUUGAAAUCUGGCCCCUAGGGUCCGAGUUGUAAUUUGUAGAGGAUGCUUUUGGUGAGGUGCCGCCCGAGUUCCCUGGAACGGGACGCCGCAGAGGGUGAGAGCCCCGUCUGGCUGGCCACCGAGCCUCUGUAAAGCUCCUUCGACGAGUCGAGUAGUUUGGGAAUGCUGCUCAAAAUGGGAGGUAUAUGUCUUCUAAAGCUAAAUAUUGGCCAGAGACCGAUAGCGCACAAGUAGAGUGAUCGAAAGAUGAAAAGCACCUUGAAAAGAGGGUUAAACAGUACGUGAAAUUGUUGAAAGGGAAGCGCUUGUGACCAGACUUGGGCGCGGCGAAUCAUCCGGGGUUCUCUCCGGUGCACUUCGCCGUGUUCAGGCCAGCAUCAGUUCGGCGCGGGGGAAAAAGGCUUCGGGAACGUGGCUGCUCCGGCAGUGUUAUAGCCCGUUGCAUAAUACCCUGCGCUGGACUGAGGACCGCGCAUCUGCAAGGAUGCUGGCGUAAUG
rnacentral:rRNA from 1 species